UCCCAGCCGCCGCGGUAAUACGGAGGGUGCAGGCGUUGUUCGGAAUUAUUGGGCGUAAAGCGCGUGUAGGCGGUUCGUUAAGUCUGAUGUGAAAGCCCGGGGCUCAACCUGGGAUGGUCAUUUAGAACUGGCAGACUAGAGUCUUGGAGAGGGGAGUGGAAUUCCAGGUGUAGCGGUGAAAUACGUAGAUAUCUGGAGGGAUACCGAUGGCGAAGGCAGCCAUCUGGCCUAACACUGACGCUGAGGUACGAAAGCAUGGGGAGCAAACAGGAUUAGAUA
rnacentral:rRNA from 1 species